rnacentral:lncRNA from 1 species
GGGCGGGGCCUAAUCCACCACCAGCCAUCAGGAUCUUGUCGGCUAGGCCAAGACCUGCCCCUUUUUUUCCCCGCUCCGGCCGAUCCGAUUUGUUAUAGGCUGUCAAGCGGCGCAACCUGCAAGGUGCAAGCUCUUGAUUGGGACGCCCAUAUAACGUAGUAACAAAAAGCUUAUGGGUCGACGGAUUCCAAGCUUUUCUAGAGCAUCUCCAACAGGCGUCUAAAAACUGGACCGCGCGCUAAAAUUAGGUUUCUUGUGCGCCAGACAGCUCCAGCAGAAGCUGUAAAACAAUGCACGCGUAAAAAGGGUUGGGCGUGUGUUGAAAAAUGCUACCGCAUGUUGCAAAUUUGAGACACCGAAUUACACGCGCUUCACAAUUUACACUGCUUGUUUUUUUGGGCGCGCGUUUUUUGGCAUCUACUAAAGCAAUGUUGGGUCCGACGUACUAAAAGUGCUACAGUGACGCGCUAAAACUAUUUUAGGGCGUGAAAUUUUUAUGCACCUGUUGGAGAUGCUCUUACGUUGAUGCAAAGUCGUUCAUGCAUGCAUGCCAUUGCAUCCUUAUCUGCCACAUGGUGGAGGCCCCAUCUUGAUUUCAUGUGAUCUAUUACGGACAUGUCGUCUGCACCGUUGCUUUCUGCCGAGAUCUGACGGACGAUCCGGCAACUUUAUGUAGCCCCUCUCGAUUCAUAAGUUUGGGAACAGAUUGAUGCCAUUAGGGGCAAGAAAUUUGGACAGGCAAGUAGGCAGGACCGAAGGCACUGGAUUGUGAGAUAUUGCUCCCAACAGAUUGCCUGCUUGCAUAUUGCACUUGCACUCCUGAGUAAGGAAAUAACAGUAAAAGAGCUCGCCAAUGGGGUGGGUUUAUUGGGUCAUAUACAAAGCUUAAUACGUGAAGCACUUGCAAGUUGGCAGAGCAGAUCUGGAAGCAUGUGGUGUGGCCGGCCAAAUUGGUCAACAGACGUACAAGCAGUGAAACUUCUCUCCUUGCGUGGCCUGAGUUUCUACAACAUAUCUUACUCCAUAGCAUACAUUCGGUUGGAUGCUGUAUAGACCGACUAAUUUGUGUAGUACCAUGAUACGCGGUUCUUUCACCUCCGACACUAAUAAUCUAACACUAACACUGUGAGCUACUCGUUGUUGGAGUACUAUAGAACACAUGUUUGUAUUAGUCGCCGGACGUCGGUGUCGUCCAUAUCUGUUAAACGAAAACUCGCGCACAUUCCCCGGGUUUCCUCGUUUCCCCGCCUUUUCCUUCACUAGUCGUCCUGCACCUUUUCGUUUCACGCAAGUAAAGCAAGCAUACUUUAAUUUUUGGUCAAUGCAAUGCAAGGCCAAUUCAAGUUUAUCCAUUUUGAUUAAUCGUCCUUUUUUUAAAACCAGAGACACAACAACCAGGAAUUCGGGUCGAUCUCUAUCCCCGCCCCCACGCAACAUCCAAUGGUUUUGAAGGAAAAUCAAACGUAAUGGAGCAUAAACAAUGGAGAUUACACGAUCAUCGCUGAUGACAGGGAAGCCUUAACGCCCUCCCACAUGCCAAUAUUCAAUAUGCACAUGCAUAUCUGUGAGCUGCUUUCUUUGCCUUUGAGGGUCACCGUCUCACGAUAGGAAAUGACAGCUGGGUCGCAUGGGUAGAGCCAUCUGGCUGGGCUGGCUCGCCACCAAACCCACGCGGCCCGCCACGACCGGCCUGCGCCGAGAUGGUUCGCUGACGAGGCGCGUCGUCGGACGAAACGCUGACUCAGACCACCGUGGGCGCCAUGGAAGAAAGGCAGCUCAGAGGAGAAACUAAAGAAAGCUACUCCAAUGGCAGCGCAUGCAUGCACGGAGAGGAGACUGAGACUGGCCGAACGUGUAGUGACGGUGCCUUCCAUUCCAUGCACGCGCGAACCUUCUUAACUUCUUCUCUUCCUGGGGGCAGACCCCGCCGCCGAUAUUUUAUCCACUCCUGCUGCCACGGCGUCACCGUCGCCGAGUCAUCUCGCAAGAAGGUGCGGUAACGUGCGGUGUACAUACUCGUGGCAGCAUGGCAUUGAAUGCGCUCCAAGCUUUCUCGACUUUGAAGUUUGAACACACUGACUACGAACUUAAAACUAAUCUGAAGAAAAAAAAGAUGGAAAUUCGGUUGCGUUGCAUACUUUGCACAAACAGGGAUCGAUCAACGACUCACCGGCCGGGCGGCCGGCGACAAAGUUAGGGCAACUCCAACGCGGAUCAUUAAAAUGUAUCUCACCAAAUAUUCACACACACUUCCAAACGUAUCCGUGGACAGGGAUAGGGGUGGAUGUCAUCCGAUCACAGGCACCAAAUGCCCAUCUCUGAUCCGGCCUCUUCCAUUUGACAUGCAUAUCUUGCACAAUAACAAUUUAAGCACACUUUUAAUAGUUGCAAACAUAUGCAAUUGAUCCCAAAAGUUGUCGGUCCAGUUGUCUGUGCCAAAGGCCUCCUUGAACUCCAAGUUCGGUUGUCUGUGACAAAGACCUCACUAUUUAACUGGCCCGGUCUUCUUCGUUCAUGCGAAAUGCUUAAAUAUGCUUGUACGGUAGGCUUGGAUAAUAUUCACCGCAUCGGGAUCCAAGUCUGACGUCUUCAUGAAUAACGCUUUGGAGUCCUCCGAAGCGGCAUUGAUCUCAAGCUUCUUUUCUUGGAGCUUGAGCUUCGUAUCUUGCAUCUCUAUGAAGAUGUCGAACCCCUCCGCUCAACAUGGCACCCGCAUGGUUUGGGUAUGGGUAUUACGUGCCCAUACACACACCCGUCUCAAAAAUCUCCGCCCAUACCCAUACCCAUACCCGCACCCCAGGUUUCAAACCGUUCCCAUACCCAUACCCCGCGGGUAAAAAUACCCAACUAGGCGUGUAUACUUGAGCAUUUACAUUUCAACAUUUUGACACAUAUUGACAACAUUUCAACACAUGUAUACAACAUAUCAGCACGUGUAUACAAUAUUUCAGCACAUUUAUAACAUUUCGGCACACUUAUACAACAUUUCAACACAUUUAUUGUUGGAAAUAUGCUCUAGAGGCAAUAAUAAAAUGGUUAUUAUUAUAUUUCGUUGUUCAUGAUAAUUGUCUAUUGUUCAUGCUAUAAUUGUGUUAUCCGGAAAUCGUAAUACAUGUGUGAAUAUAUAGACCACAACACGUCCCUAGUAAGCCUCUAGUUGACUAGCUCGUUGAUCAACAGAUAGUCAUGGUUUCCUGACUAUGGACAUUGGAUGUCAUUGAUAACGGGAUCACAUCAUUAGGAGAAUGAUGUGAUGGACAAGACCCAAUCGUAAGCGUAGCACAAAGAUCGUGUAGUUCGUUUUGCUAGAGCUUUUCCAAAUGUCAAGUAUCAUUUCCUUAGACCAUAAGAUUGUGCAACUCCCGGAUACCGUAGGAGUGCUUUGGGUGUGCCAAACGUCACAACGUAACUGGGUGACUAUAAAGGUGCACUACGGGUAUCUCCGAAAGUGUCUGUUGGGUUGGCACGAAUCGAGACUGGGAUUUGUCACUCCGUAUGACGGAGAGGUAUCUCUGGGCCCACUCGGUAAUGCAUCAUCAUAAUGAGCUCAAUGUGACCAAGUGUCUGGUCACGGGAUCAUGCAUUACGGUACGAGUAAAGUGACUUGCCGGUAACGAGAUUAAACGAGGUAUUGGGAUACCGACGAUAGAAUCUCGGGCAAGUAACGUACCAAUUGACAAAGGGAAUUGUAUACGGGAUUGAUUGAAUCCUCAACAUCGUGGUUCAUCCGAUGAGAUCAUCGAGGAGCAUGUGGGACCCAACAUGGGUAUCCAGAUCCCGCUGUUGGUUAUUGACCGGAGAGGCGUCUCGGUCAUGUCUGCAUGUCUCCCGAACCCGUAGGGUCUACACACUUAACGUUCGGUGACGCUAGGGUUGUUGAGAUAUUAGUAUGCAGUAACCCGAAAGUUGUUCGGAGUCCCGGAUGAGAUCCCGGACGUCACGAGGAGUUCUGGAAUGGUCCGAAGGUGAAGAUUUAUAUACAGGAAGUUCAGUUUCGGCCAUCGGGAAAGUUUCGUGGGGUCACCGGUAUUGUACCGGGACCACCGGAAGGGUCCCGGGGGUCCACCAGGUGGGGCCACCUAUCCCGGAGGGCCCCAUGGGCUGAAGUGGGAGGGGAACCAGNNNNNNNNNNNNNNNNNNNNNNNNNNNNNNNNNNNNNNNNNNNNNNNNNNNNNNNNNNNNNNNNNNNNNNNNNNNNNNNNNNNNNNNNNNNNNNNNNNNNNNNNNNNNNNNNNNNNNNNNNNNNNNNNNNNNNNNNNNNNNNNNNNNNNNNNNNNNNNNNNNNNNNNNNNNNNNNNNNNNNNNNNNNNNNNNNNNNNNNNNNNNNNNNNNNNNNNNNNNNNNNNNNNNNNNNNNNNNNNNNNNNNNNNNNNNNNNNNNNNNNNNNNNNNNNNNNNNNNNNNNNNNNNNNNNNNNNNNNNNNNNNNAAGCCGCCCCCUUGCCCCCCCCUUGGAGAUUGGAUCUCCUAGGGACGGCGCCCCCUAGGGGCCCUAUAUAAAGAGGGGGGAGGGAGGGCAGCCGCACCCAAGUCCCUGGCGCCUCCCUCUCCCCACGCACCACCUCUUCCUCUCGCUGAAGCUUGGCGAAGCCCUACCGAGAUCACUGUUGCAUCCACCACCACGCCGUCGUGCUGCUGGAUCUCCAUCAACCUCUCCUUUCCCCUUGCUGGAUCAAGAAGGAGGAGACGUCUUCCCGACCGUACGUGUGUUGAACGCGGAGGUGUCGUCCGUUCGGCGCUAGGAUCUCCGGUGAUUUGGAUCACGACGAGUACGACUCCAUCAACCCCGUUCUCUUGAACGCUUCCGCUCGCGAUCUACAAGGGUAUGUAGAUGCUAUCCUCUCUCUCGUUGCUAGAUGACUCCAUAGAUUGAUCUUGGUGAAGCGUAGAAAUUUUUUAUUUUCUACAACGUUCCCCAACAGUGGCAUCAUGAGCUAGGUCUAUGCGUAGUUUCUAUGCACGAGUAGAACACAAAUUUGUUGUGGGUGUAGAUGUUGUCAAUUUUCUUGCCACUACUCGUCUUAUCUUGCUUUGGCGGUAUCGUGGGAUGAAGCAGCCCGGACCGACCUUACACGUACGCUUACGUGAGACAGGUUCCACCGACUGGCAUGCACUAGUUGCAUAAGGUGGCUAGCGGGUGUCUGUCUCUCCCACUUUAGUUGGAGCAGAUUCGAUGAAAAGGGUCCUUAUGAAAGGUAAAUAGAAAUUGGCAUGUCACGUUGUGGCUUUUACGUAGGUAAGAAACGUUCUUGCUAGAAUCCUAUUACAACCACGUAAAAACAUGCAACAACAAUUAGAGGACGUCUAACUUGUUUUUGCAUCAUGUGCUUUGUGAUGUGAUAUAGCCAAAAGUUGUGAUGAAUGAUAUAUAUGUGAUGUAUGAGAUCAUGUUCUUGUAAUAGGAAUCAUGACUUGCAUGUCGAUGAGUAUGACAACUGGCAGGAGCCAUAGGAGUUGUCUUUUUUUUAUGACCUGCGUGUCAUUGAAUAACGCCAUGUGAAUUACUUUACUUUAUUGCUAAACACGUUAGACAUAGAAGUAGAAGUAAUCGUUGCCGUGACAACUUCAUGAAGACACGAUGAUGGAGAUCAUUAUGAUGGAGAUCAUGGUGUCAUGCCGGUGACGAAGAUGAUCAUGGCUCCCCGAAGGUGGAGAUCAAAGGAGCAAUAUGAUAAUGGCCAUAUCAUGUCACUAUUUGAUUGCAUGUGAUGUUUAUCAUGUUUUACAUCUUAUUUGCUUAGAACGACGGUAGCUUAAAUAAGAUGAUCCCUCGCAAUAAUUUCAAGAAAGUGUUCCCCCUAACUGUGCACCGUUGUGAAGGUUCGUUGUUUCGAAGCACCACGUGAUGAUCGGGUGUGAUAGAUCCUAACGUUCAAAUACAACGGGUGUAAGCCAGAUUUACACACGCAAUACACUUAGGUUGACUUGACGAGCCUAGCAUGUACAGACAUGGCCUCAGAACACAGAAGACCGAAAGGUCGAGCAUGAGUCGUAUAGAAGAUACGAUCAACAUGAAGAUGUUCAUCAAUGUCGACUAGUCCGUCUCACGUGAUGAUCGGACACGGCCUAGUUGAUUCGAAUCAUGUUUCACUUAGAUGACUAGAGGGAUGUCUGUCUGAGUGGGAGUUCAUUGAAUAAUUUGAUUAGAUGAACUUAAUUAUCAUGAACUUAGUCUAAAAUCUUUACAAUAUGUCUUGUAGAUCAAAUGGCCCACGUUGCCCUCAACUUCAACGCAUUCCUAGAGAAAACCAAGCUAAAAGAUGAUGGCAGCAACUAUACGGACUGGGUCCGGAACCUGAGGAUCAUCCUCAUAGCUGCCAAGAAAGAUUAUGUCCUAGAAGCACCGCUAGGUGAAUCACCCAUCCCAGAGAACCAAGACAUUAUGAACACUUGGCACUCUCGUGCUGAUGAUUACUCCCUCGUUCAGUGUAGCAUGCUUUACAGCUUAGAACCGGGGCUCCAAAAGCAUUUUGAGCAACACGGAGCAUAUGAGAUGUUCGAAGAGCUGAAAAUGGUUUUCCAAGCUCAUGCCCAGGUCGAGAGAUAUGAAGUCUCCGACAAGUUCUUCAGUUUUAAGAUGGAGGAAAAUAGUUCUCUCAGUGAGCACAUACUCAAAAUGUCUAGGUUGCACAACCGCUUGACUCAGCUGGGAGUUAAUCUCCCGGAUGACGCGGUGAUUGACAGAAUCCUUCAGUCGCUUCCACCGAGCUACAAGAGCUUUGUGAUGAACUUCAAUAUGCAGGGGAUGGAAAAGACCAUUCCUGAGGUAUAUUCAAUGCUGAAAUCAACGGAGGUAGAGAUCAAAAAGGAACAUCAAGUGUUGAUGGUGAAUAAAACCACUAAGUUCAAAAAGGCAAGGGUAAGAAGAACUUCAAGAAGGACGGCAAGGGAUUUGUCGCGCCCGGUAAGCCAGUUGCCGGGAAGAAGCCAAAGAAUGGACCCAAGCCUAAGACUGAGUGCUUUUAUUGCAAGGAAAGUGGUCACUGGAAGCGGAACUGCCCCAAGUACUUAGCGUACAAGAAGGCCGGCAACACUAAAGGUAUAUGUGAUAUACAUGUAAUUGAUGUGUACCUUACCAGUACUCGUAGUAGCUCCUAGGUAUUUGAUACCGGUGCGGUUGCUCACAUUUGUAACUCAAAGCAGGAGCUGCGGAAUAAGCGGAGACUGGCGAAGGACGAGGUGACGAUGCGCGUCGGGAAUGGUUCCAAGGUCGAUGUGAUCGCCGUUGGCACGCUACCUCUACAUUUACCUACGGGAUUAGUUUUAAACCUCAAUAAUUGUUAUUUAGUGCCAGCUUUGAGCAUGAACAUUGUAUCUGGAUCUCGUUUAAUACGAGAUGGCUACUCAUUUAAAUCCGACAAUAAUGGUUGUUCUAUCUAUAUGAGAGAUAUGUUUUAUGGUCAUGCCCCGAUGGUCAAUGGUUUAUUCUUAAUGAAUCUUGAACGUGAUGUUACACAUAUUCAUAGUGUGAAUACCAAAAGAUGUAAAGUUGAUAACGAUAGUCCCACAUACUUGUGGCACUGCCGCCUUGGUCAUAUUGGUGUCAAGCGCAUGAAGAAGCUCCAUGCUGAUGGUCUUUUAGAGUCUCUGGAUUAUGAAUCAUUUGACACAUGCGAACCAUGCCUCCUGGGCAAAAUGACCAAGACUCCAUUCUUCGGAACAAUGGAGCGAGCAACCAACUUAUUGGAAAUCAUACAUACUGAUGUGUGCGGUCCAAUGAGCGUUGAGGCUCGCGGAGGAUAUCGUUAUGUUCUCACUCUCACUGACGACUUGAGUAGAUAUGUGUAUGUCUACUUGAUGAAACACAAGUAUGAGUCCUUUGAAAAGUUCAUGGAAUUUUAGAAUGAGGUAGAGAAUCAACGUGACUGAAAGAUAAAGUUCUUACGAUCAGAUCGUGGAGGAGAAUAUUUAAGUCACGAAUUUGGUACGCACUUAAGGAAAUUUGGAAUCAUUUCACAACUCACGCCACCUGAACACCUCAGCGUAACGGUGUGUCCGAACGUCUUAAUCGCACUUUAUUGGAUAUGGUGCGAUCUAUGAUGUCUCUUACCGAUUUACCGCUAUCAUUUUGGGGAUAUGCUCUAGAGACAGCUACAUUCACUUUAAAUAGGGCUUGUCUAAAUCCGUUGAGACGACACCAUAUGAAUUAUGGUUUGGGAAGAAACCUAAGCUGUUGUUUCUAAAAGUUUGGGGAUGCGAUGCUUAUGUCAAGAAACUUCAACCUGAAAAGCUCGAACCCAAGUCGAAAAAAUGUGUCUUCAUAGGAUACCCUAAGGAAACCAUUGGGUAUACCUUCUACCUCAAAUCCGAAGGCAAGAUCUUUGUUGCCAAGAACGGGUCCUUUCUGGAGAAAGAGUUUCUCUCGAAAGAAGUAAGUGGGAGGAAAGUGGAACUUGAUGAAGUACUACCUCUUGAACCGGAAAGUAGCGCAGCUCAGGAAGAUGUUCAUGUGGUGCCUGCACCGACUAGAGAGGAAACUAAUGAUGAUGAUCAAGGUACUUCGGAUCAAGUAACUACUGAACUUCGUAGGUCCACGAGGACACGUUCCACACCAGAGUGGUAUGGCAACCCUGUCCUCGAAAUCAUGUUGUUAGACAACGGUGAACCUUCGAACUAUGAAGAAGCGAUGGCGGGCCCAGAUUCCAACAAAUGGCUUGAAGCCAUGCAAUCCGAGAUAGGAUCCAUGUAUAAAGACGAAGUAUGGACUUUGACAGACUUGCCCGAUGAUCGGCGAGCGAUAGAAAACAAAUGGAUCUUUAAGAAAAAGACGGGUGCGGAUGGUAAUGUUACCAUCUAUAAAGCUCGACUUGUCGCUAAGGGUUAUCGACAAGUUCAAGGGGUUGACUAUGAUGAGACUUUCUCUCCCGUAGCGAAGCUGAAGUCUGUCCGAAUUAUCUUAGCAAUUGCCGCAUACUAUGAUUAUGAGAUAUGGCAAAUGGACGUCAAAACGGCAUUCCUUAACGGCUAUCUUAAGGAAGAACUGUAUAUGAUGCAGCCGGAAGGUUUUGUCGAUCCUGAAAAUGCUACCAAGGUAUGCAAACUCCAGCGAUCCGUUUAUGGGCUGGUGCAAGCAUCUCGGAGUUGGAACAUUCGCUUUGAUGAGAUGAUCAAAGUGUUUGGGUUUAUGCAGACUUAUGGAGAAGCCUGCGUUUACAAGAAAGUGAGUGGGAGCUCUGUAGCAUUUCUCAUAUUAUAUGUAGAUGACACACUUUUGAUGGGAAAUGAUAUAGAACUUUUGGACAGCAUUAAGGCCUACUUGAAUAAGUGUUUUUCAAUGAAGGACCUUGGAGUAGCUGCUUACAUAUUAGGCAUCAAGAUCUAUAGGGAUAGAUCGAGACGCCUCAUAGGUCUUUCACAAAGCACAUGCCUUGAUAAGAUAUUGAAGAAGUUCAAUAUGGAACAGACCAAGAAGGGGUUCUUGCCUGUGUUGCAAGGUGUGAAAUUUAGCUCAGCUCAAUGCCCGACCACGGCAGAAGAUAGAUAAAAGAUGAGUGCCAUCCCUAUGCCUCAGCUAUAGGGUCUAUUAUGUAUGCCAUGUUGUGUACCAGACCUGAUGUAAACCUUGUCGUAAGUUUGGUAGGAAGGUACCAAAGUAAUCCCGGCAUGGAACACUGGACAGCGGUCAAGAACAUCCUAAAGUACCUGAAAAGGACUAAAGAUAUGUUUCUCGUUUAUAGAGGUGACGAAGAGCUCGUCCUAAAGGGUUAAGUCGACGCUAGCUUCGACACAGAUCUGGAUGACUCUAAGUCACAAACCGGAUACAUGUAUAUUUUGAAUGGUGGGGCAGUAAGCUGGUGCAGUUGCAAGCAAAGCGUCGUGGCGGGAUCUACAUGUGAAGCAGAGUACAUGGCAGCCUCGGAGGCAGCGCAUGAAGCAAUCUGGGUGAAGGAGUUCAUCAUCGACCUAGGAGUCAUACCCAAUGCGUCGGGGCUGAUCACACUCUUCUGUGACAACACUGGAGCUAUUGCACUUGCCAAGGAGCCCAGGUUUCACAAGAAGACUAGGCACAUCAAGCAUCGCUUCAACUCCAUACGUGAAAAUGUUCAAGAUGGAGACAUAGAUAUUUGUAAAGUACAUACGGACCUGAAUGUAGCAGAUCUGUUGACUAAACCUCUCCCUAGAGCAAAACAUGAUCAACACCAGAACUCUAUGGGUGUUCGAUUCAUCACAAUGUAACUACAUUAUUGACUCUAGUGCAAGUGGGAGACUGUUGGAAAAAUGCCCUAGAGGCAAUAAUAAAAUGGUUAUUAUUAUAUUUCCUUGUUCAUGAUAAUUGUCUAUUGUUCAUGCUAUAAUUGUGUUAUCCGGAAAUCGUAAUACAUGUGUGAAUAUAUAGACCAUAACACGUCCCUAGUAAGCCUCUAGUUGACUAGCUCGUUGAUCAACAGUUAGUCAUGGUUUCCUGACUAUGGACAUUGGAUGUCAUUGAUAACGGGAUCACAUCAUUAGGAGAAUGAUGUGAUGGACAAGACCCAAUCGCAAGCGUAGCACAAAGAUCGUGUAGUUCAUUUUGCUAGAGCUUCUCCAAAUGUAAAGUAUCAUUUCCUUAGACCAUGAGAUUGUGCAACUCCCGGAUACCGUAGGAGUGCUUUGGGUGUGCCAAACGUCACAACGUAACUGGGUGACUAUAAAGGUGCACUACGGGUAUCUCCGAAAGUGUCUGUUGGGUUGGCACGAAUCGAGACUGGGAUUUGUCACUCCGUAUGACGGAGAUGUAUCUCUGGGCCCACUCGGUAAUGCAUCAUCAUAAUGAGCUCAAUGUGACCAAGUGUCUGGUCACGGGAUCAUGCAUUAUGGUAUGAUUAAAGUGACUUGCCGGUAACGAGAUUAAAUGAGGUAUUGGGAUACCGACGAUCGAAUCUCGGGCAAGUAACGUGCCGAUUGACAAAGGGAAUUGUAUACGGGAUUGAUUGAAUCCUCGACAUCGUGGUUCAUCCGAUGAGAUCAUGGAGGAGAAUGUGGGAGCCAACAUGGGUAUCCAGAUCCCACUGUUGGUUAUUGACCGGAGAGGCGUCUCGGUCAUGUCUGCAUGUCUCCCGAACCCAUAGGGUCUACACACUUAAGGUUCGGUGACGCUAGGGUUGUUGAGAUAUUAGUAUGUAGUAACCUGAAAGUUGUUCGGGGUCCCGGAUGAGAUCCCGGAUGUCACGAGGAGUUCCGGAAUGGUCCGGAGGUGAAGAUUUAUAUAUAGGAAGUUCAGCUUCGGCCAUCGGGAAAGUUUCGGGGGGUCACGGGUAUUGCACCGGGACCACCGGAAGGGUCCCGGGGGUCCACCGGGUGGGGCCACCUAUCCCGGAGGGCCCCAUGGGCUGAAGUGGGAGGGGAACCAGCCCCUGGUGGACUGGUGCGCCCCCCCCCCUUGGGCCCCCCCUGCACCUAGGGUUGGAAACCCUAGGGGUGGGGGCGCCUCACUUGCCUUGGGGGGCAAGCCACCCCCUUGGCCGCCGCCCCCCUUGGAGAUUGGAUCUCCUAGGGCCGGCGCCCCCCCUAGGGGCCCUAUAUAAGGAGCGGGGGAGGGAGGGCAGCCGCACCCAAGUCCCUGGUGCCUCCCUCUCCCCACGCACCAGCUCUCCCUCUCGCUGAAGCUUGGCGAAGCCCUGCCAAGAUCACUGCUGCAUGCACCACCACGCCGUCGUGCUGCUGGAUCUCCAUCAACCCAUCCUUUCCCCUUGCUGGAUCAAGAAGCAGGAGACAUCUUCCCGACCGUACGUGUGUUGAACGCGGAGGUGCCGUCCGUGCGGCGCUAGGAUCUCCGGUGAUUUGGAUCACAACGAGUACGACUCCAUCAACCCCGUUCUCUUGAACGCUUCCGCUCGCGAUCUACAAGGGUAUGUAGAUGAUAUCCUCUCUCUCGUUGCUAGAUGACUCCAUAGAUUGAUCUUGGUCAAGCAUAGAAAUUUUUUAUUUUCUGCAACGAUCCCCAACAUUUAUACAUAAAUUUUGACAUUUCAGCACACACACACAUAAAUCAUUUCAACCACUUAAGUUCGACACACAAGUUGGUUCAAGACACAAAUAAGUUCGACACACAAGUAGUUCAUUCAACCUCAACACAAAAGUAGGUUCAAAACACAAAUAAGUUGGACACAUAGUCAUUGCAGCCACUUGAACCUCUCCAACAUGACACCAAACCAACUUGAGUAGAUUUCGUCUUCUACUCACUUCAUGAGCCUUCGCAUCUCAAACCGCCAAAUCCUAAUUUGGGAAUUGUGAGACAUGAGAACUUGAGAGCUUUAUGUAUACAAGAUAUGUUUGCAAAAUCCUAAUUUCGGAAUUGUGGAUGGAUGGACGAGUUCCGGCAGCCCAGCGGGGGGCGCGUGCACGAGCUCGGCGGCAGCCGCUGGUGUUGGGGAAUGCGGUAAUUUAAAAAAAAAUCCUACGAUCACGCAAGAUCUAUCUAGGUGAUGCAUAGCAAUGAGAGGGGAGAGUGUGUCCACGUAUCCUCAUAGACCGAAAGCGGAAGCAUUUAGUUAACGCGGUUGAUGUAGUCAAACGUCUUCGCGAUCCAACCGAUACAAGCACCGAAUGUACGGUACCUCCGCGUUCAGCACACGUUUAGCUCGAUGACGUCCCUCGUACUCUUGAUCCAGUUGAGGCCGAGGGAGAGUUUCGUCAGCACGACGGCGUGGUGACGGUGAUGAUAAAGUUACCGGCGCAGGGCUUUGCCUAAGCACUACAACGAUAUGACUGAGGUGUGUAACUGUGGAGGGGCGCACCGCACACGGCUAAAACAAUUGUCAACUUGUGUGUUCUAGGGUACCCCCCUGCCCCCGUAUAUAAAGGAGAAAGGGGGAUGCCGGUCGGCUCUCUAGGGCGCGCCAAGGGGGGAGGAAUCCUCCUCCUAGUAGGAGUAGGACUCCCCCCCUUUCCUAGUCCUACUAGGAGAAGAAGGAAGGAGGGGGAGGAGAAGGAAGGAGGGGGCGCCUCCCCUUCCCCUAGCCCAAUUCGGACUAGGCCCAUGGGGGGGCAUGGCCAGACCCUGGCCGCCCCUCUCUCUCUCCCUUAGGCCCAAUAAGUCCCAUUACUUCUCUAGUGGUUCCGAUAACCCUUCCGGCACUCCGGUUAUAUCCGAAACUUCCCCGGAACACUUCCGGUGUCCGAAUAUAGUCGUCCAAUAUAUCAAUCUUUAUGUCUCGACCAUUUCGAGACUCCUCAUCGUGUCUGUGAUCACAUUUGGUACUCCGAACAAUCUUCGGUACAACAUAUCACAUAAACUCAUAAUACCAAUCGUCAUCAAACGUUAAGCGUGCGGACCCUACGGGUUCGAGAACUAUGUAGACAUGACCGAGACACGUCUCCGGUCAAUAACCAAUAGCGGAACUUGGAUGCUCAUAUUGGUUCCUACAUAUUCUAUAAAGAUCUUUAUCGGUCAAACCGCAUAACAACAUACGGUGUUCCCUUUGUCAUCGGUAUGUUACUUGCCCGAGAUUCGAUCGUACGUAUCUAAAUACCUAGUUCAAUCUCGUUACCGGCAAGUGUCUUUACUCGUUCCAUAAUACUUCAUCCCGCAACUAAAUCAUUAGUCACAAUGCUUGCAAGGAUUAUAGUGAUGAGUAUUACCGAGAGGGCCCAGAGAUACCUCUCCGAAACACGGAGUGACAAAUCCUAAUCUCGAUCUAUGCCAACCCAACAAACACCUUCGGAAACACCUGUAGUGCACCUUUAUAAUCACCCUUUUACGUUGUGACGUUUGGUAGCACACAAAGUGUUCAUCCGGUAUUCGGGAGUUGCAUAAUCUCAUAGUCUGAGGAACUUGUAUAAGUCAUGAAGAAAGCAGUAGCAAUGAAACUGACACGGUCAUAAUGCUAAGCUAAUGGAUGGGUCAUGUCCAUCACAUCAUUCUCCUAAUGAUGUGAUCUCGUUCAUCAAAUGACAACACAUGUCUAUGGUUAGAAAACAUAGCCAUCUUUGAUUAACGAGCUAGUCUAGUAGAGGCGUACUAGGGACUAUAUGUUUUGUCUAUGUACUCACACAUGUACUAAGUUUCUGGUUAAUACAAUUCUAGCAUGAAUAAUAAACAUGUAUCAUGAAUUAAGGAAAUAAAUAAUAACUUUAUUAUUGCCUCUAGGGCAUAUUUCCUUCAGCUGGGCGCGUCGUUGCGUGGAAGGUCUGGUGGUGCGGUCGUGCUUGCGCGGGGUAGAAGGAGGCCAGAGGUGUGGGUGCAAGGAGAUCCGAAGAAGCCGAGAAGGAGCAGGUCGAAGGCAGUGGCGCGGCGCCGACCGCCUAGGGUUAGCAGGUGGGCGGGAUUUGGGUUUGGUUGUGUGGGUGAUGGCGCAAGGGGGUGGGCGCGGUUUGGAUCGGGAAGGGGGGUGUGGGUGGUCCAGCCAGCAGUAGCUUAGGGUUUUCUCAUCUAAGUCAAUGACACAUGGGACCUACUUGACAGGGUUAUUAUUAUACGGGUUUGAGGGUUCACGAGUAUGGCUAUUGCCUUCCCAUACUCGUACCCGCCUUACCCAUUGGAUAUGAUUUUUUUCCCAUUUAGAAACCCAUGGGUAUUUUAAUUUCCCAUGCCCUUACCCUAAUAGGGUAUUUACCCGUCGGGUUCGCGGGUUGCGGGUACCCGUUGCCAUGUUGACUCUCCGCCUUCUUCCCCUCCUUCAUCUUGUGAUACUUGCCUCAUUCUUCUUCGUCGUGAUGUGCAAGAACUUCUCCGUCAUCUUGGCCGCCGCCCCUUCUCGCGUCUCCUUCUCCUCCUAUCACUUGCUCCACAAGUUCCUAAUCAUCUUCUUGGUCGGAGCAAGCCCUCCUUGUGCUGGAACGGUUGGAUCACAACCUUCGUAUUCAUUGAUCAUGACGGUCUUGGCAGAAUUUCAAACAAGGAGUUUCACUUGCUUUGUCCAUUCAACUUUAACCAACAAUGCAUAUAGUUGAAGUGCUUCUUCUCCAUCUUGUAAUAUAAUACACGCGCACAUAGGGACUAGAAAAGAAAGGUAAUGGAUGGUCAACAAGUUGCAACAUUAAGCAAAUCAGUAAAAUGGCCAACAAAUAGAGCCGCAUGCCACAAGACUUACGAGAUCUUGGAUUGUUGUACCACUUGGCCAUCAGGUUUUCACUUGUUUGAAAAAGCCGCGAAACUUGUUGAGGAUCUCUUGAAUAUUGUAUCAUCGAUGGCUGAGUGACUUUGAAUUCCGCUGAUGGAUCACUUCCUUGCGGUAGGGAUCGUUCUGCUUUUGCUGGUGAAACCAAAUAUGCAUGCUUUGCCAAAACGCCGCACCCUAAAAUGUAUCGAUGGCCAACCAUACCACACACAACAAUUCAUCCUUCUUUUGAGUGAAAUUUAGCCCCCUCCGCUUCAUCUUGGGUCGGCACACGAUGAUCACUGCUCGUUUGGAUCCAUGUCUGACUUCUGGGUGUCCCGCUGGCUGUGAGUGUUCCUUGGCUAAAAGUCCUUCGCUUGUCCAUCUUCGUAGUCGUCCGCGUCGUGGAUAGUUUUCAUCAUUGCGUCAUCGUCUACCCCGUCCCACUUGGAUGAUGCAUUGCGGUAAAUAGUGAUUGGGUACCGACGGAUGAGCGAUCCACAUCCGGCAUCUGCGACUGGACAAGCCCCGCCAAAUGCGACUCCAUGAAGACAUAAUUGGUGUUGAGGUUAACAGUGAACGGGACUCGAUGGCUGGAGGUGAAGGAGGACGCGGACUGCUGCGGCGAUUGUUGCAUACCAAAGUGUUGGGAGGUGUAGUAGUAGGAUGGCUUCGGCUGAGACGAUCACACCGUCGAUUGUGCAGGCCACACGAGGGUGGCGACAAGCUAUGUCGGAUGAGGUCCUUUCUAACCGAUCGCCUACGCACUGCCAGACUUCUUUCUCGCCUUGUGGCGACAGACGUUGCCUUCCACGCCUGCGACCUUCCGGGCGGCCUCCAUGCUCGGGUCCUUUGGCUCCGGCAGGGCGAUGAUCAACGGUCCUCCAGCGGUACCUCUAUCACUCCGAUGGACCGCCUAACGGUAGGAGGGAGGCGAUGAUCGAGACAGAGACAUGGAAAAUGGAUGGCUUUCGCAUGAGAACAUUGAUGGGAAUGUCCAAAUUAGUGAGCUCGGGUGGAGUUUGUGGGUGUAUUGGGCGUGUCGAAGUCCGACGUGGCGGUCGUCUGGACGCCCGCAAAUCUCCCCUACGUUUGAUUCCAAUUUGUGAGAUUUCAAACGUCCGGAUUGGUCCAGACAAAUUUAAUGAUUGUUGGAUGGCAAAAAGAUGUCUGAACUGUUUGAUCCAAACAUUUAGGGGCAUUUUGGUGAUCCAUGUUGGAGUUGCCCUUAAGGAUGGCAAAUUUUUCUUGUGCCCCCAAUUGCAUGGGUGCAUGUGACAGCCGGUUGGUUGAAGGCAUCAUCGAUCAUGGUCCAUGCAUGGAUGACUAGAUGUCACUCGUGACACGCACAAAAGUUUCGCAGUGGACCCUUGCACAUGCAGCACAACACUAGGCAGGCACUAGGGGUCCAGCUCCACCUAGGAAGCACUUGUUUUAUCCAGAAUCCUGGUGGGCGCGGGUGACUGUUCUAUUCAAAAGCUAAUUGGAUAAACACCCGGCUUUUAGUUAAGUUUUUACAGGUUCCGUCCAGAGCUUAUAAAAGGCGCCCCCUCCUUCCCAUUCAGAGCACGGAGCUCCAGCACCAACCCACAAACCCACAGACACACCAACAACCUCAAGACAGAGGCCGGAAACUGAGGCGCAAAGGAAGGAAGCAGAGCAAAGUCUUCUCUCCGCCUCCGCGUCUUACGAGAGAAACAAGCCUUCGGUUCUUCAUUCCAACAGGAAAUGGAGAAGGCAGGACACGAGCAUGUGAUCGGCAUCCCAGUGAGCAGCACUGCCAUCGGCAUCGAGGAGCCCGAGUUCACCAGCGAUGGACCUACCAAUGUCCACGGUGAUGCAAAAUACUCGACGAGCACGCGUACCGGCGGCAAAUCGGGCAGGGCAGCGGACAAAUUCGCUCGAGGAAUCAGAGAACAUGGUAAGUCCUCCUUCUCCAGUCCGUCUGGAUGAAUCUUGUAGCCUUUCCUGUUCAUAUGUAGGUUCAUCAGUUGUGAAUUAGACACUGAACAUAGAUAUGUCCUUGUGCAGUGAGUCUCGGCCCAAAACUGUACGAGACCGUGAGGGGCAAGCUGUCGCUGGGCGCGAGAAUCCUCCAGGCCGGCGGCGUGGAGAAAGUCUUCCGGCGGUGGUUCUCCGUGGAGAAGGGCGAGAAGCUCCUCAACGCCUCGCAGUGCUACCUGUCCACCACCGCCGGCCCGAUCGCCGGGAUGCUCUUCGUAUCGUCGGAGAGGGUGGCCUUCCGCAGCGACCGGUCGCUGGCGCUGACCUCGCCCAAGGGCGACACGGUGCGGGUGCCGUACAAGGUGGCCGUCCCGCUGAGCAGGGUGAAGGCGGCCAAGCCGAGCGAGAACCAGCACCGGCCGGAGCAGAAGUACGUCCAGCUGGUGACCGACGACGGCUUCGAGUUCUGGUUCAUGGGCUUCGUCAGCUACCAGGCGUCCCUGCAGCACCUCGAGCAGGCCAUCGCGGAGUCGCACCUCUGACCCCAUUGAUUGAUCAAAGAAGCACGUACGCGCUGUGUGUGUUGUGUUGUGUGUGUGCUGGUCCGGUUAAUAUGUUGUGCAUAGGUAAGUUAGGGUUUCAUGGUGGAUUGCUUGUCGUUUUUGGCAUUGGAGCAAGUCCGGUAUACUUAAAUGGUAGGGGAAAUUUAAUUUAGGGCGUGAAAAAUUCUUCAUGUUGAAGAAGUACUGUAUGUGUAUGGUACAGUCGCCACGGCAAAACUGCCAUCAUAAACGUGUGGUAUGCACUAGUUCAGUGAGAAAAAUCGUGAAUUGUUUGUUCCACUUCUUUACAACUUGCAAGUGCGUCCAGCCCGUCUCUUUUUUUCAGCAUUUCUUUGAGGAAAUGUUCUCAAAACCCUGUAAAGCUAAAGCUCAGGCCGAGACAGGCUGUGUAUGCUUACAUAAAGAUGUGAAUUUAUAUUAUCAAGAGAAAUCAAACCUAACUUGAGCUGUCAAGUGGCCAUAAUUCAUAGAAACACCUGUAAUGUAUGCAACUGCCCUAACCUACGUUAUUUGUUGAACUGAAAAGUACAGAAGAAAAGAAACAGCACUGAGAGAACAAAAUUUGUGGAACAAUACCAAAGAACACCGGAUGUCUAUCGGUGACGCAUGGACCUGGAACCACAAGUGGUGACAGCUAGCUGCAUAUUCAGGGGUAUGUCCCAAAUAUAUUUCUAAGCAUCACACUUUUUUGUGAAUGCCAUUAAGUUAAUCCCAACGAAAUUAAUACUGCAAUAUAUGGCCUCGCCAGCUGAUUCCCAUCGAAUAUUCUGAUAACACAUGCAUGUGGCUAUUUUAUACUAUUCUCUUCAACCAUAUUUAAGAACAUAAUGAGUAAUUAAUAAGAGAAGGAUUCAUAUGGAAUGGGCACUGUAUGUCCACUGCGACUGUUUUCUUUUAACAAAGGCAAAUGCUUUGCCAUGUUUAUUUAAUAUAAGUAGGGUCUUAUAACAUGUACAAGAGAGAGAGAGAGAAAAAGGGUCAAACCGAAAGCAUACUCUUCCAAUAUCAACUCUCCUAAUUGCUUUGCUUCGGCCAUCAUACAAGCUUUUGGUAACAAGAACCAAACACUUUUGAAGGCUUGUGUUCUGCUCGUUCCAAAUUAUUUAUGAUACAACAACAUAAGGUUGUGACGGGCCAUGCUGUCGAGGCAACCUUCAACUAGUGAUGCAAGGAGACCACAUACAACAAGUUUAGACAUAUGUCAUAUUGUUAGCCAAGAUUUUGCACCCCCGGCGACUCCGAGCUUGACAAGAUAAGCGGCGUCGCAGCGUAAGGAUCCUUUCGGCAUUGACAUGCCUUACAGUUCCUUGCCUUCUGCUUUGGUCAAAACUUAAUUUAGGCAGGCCCAUCUAGCCUCAUGGGUUGAUAACUUUUCACACGAUGAGGAUUCCCCACGGUCGGUAUUUUACAUUCCAAAAAUGCUAGACCUACGUAAUCUAACUACGUAAACUUAUGUUCCUUCCAUCCUAAACUAAUUAGGUCCCCCUGAUUUUCAGUGGGUAGGAGUGGGCAUGUUUUCUCUCCCAACCAAAUCUGACCACCUCAACUUUUUCGUAGGUUACGUAGAAAAAAUUAUGUAGAUGCAGCAAAGCUCUUUACAUGCCCAUGGAGGACCUUAUAUAGCCUAGGGGUCCUUCACAAAUGACCAAGGCUACCCUUGAGGAGACGAGGUAGGAGGGUAGAACUAUAGAUAAUUUCCCGUCCUUUGAUUCAUGUGCCUCUAGUCUAGUUAGGAGGUGGGUUGUAGCCCACUAAGUAGAGAAUCCCUAUACUAUUUGAAGGCCUUCUUGAUUGGGCUCGGGCUCUUUGCUACUUUGUAAUGUGGUCUUCUUUCUUUAACUUGUUGACCAUAAAUGUUUGCUUGGACUUCCAUUGACCAAGGUGGCUUGCUAGGACCCACGACAGCUUGCUUGGACUAUUUGUUCACCUCAUUGACUUGCGUGGAAUAUCCUUCAAUUUUGUUGACUACCGAUGUGGCAUGCCAUGUAGGAUAGGGGGUGGGACCUUGAGUAGGGUUGAACCCAUUACUACAACAGGACCAAAAGGCCAUUCUUGCACCUGAACUUAACAUUGUUCUCUACCCCACCCGGAGAGUGAAGAUAGAAAACCGUCUAGAUAUCAGAUUUAUUUUGUGAUAAAGGGCGUCUCUAUUAACUCAUCAUAUAACAUCAAGAGAUAAAAUAAUAAUGAGCAACAUUCGUCCUCUGUAUAACUUGGAUGACAAGCCCAAUGACAUCGAUACGCCCAUACAAGACUAAUAUGUAGCCCAACUCUCUAGCUCCAAAACCCACAUAUUUUGCAACAGGUUUAGGUUGCUUCAACGCAGUACGGUGUUCAGUCCCGUGGGAAUACCUCUUGCAAACCACACAAUAGACAUUACCUUUCAAGUCUUUAUUCCCAUGUCGAAUCCCUUUGCACUUGCCACAUAUUUGAUCACUCAUUCUGCCAUAUUUGCUCUCUCCUUUGUGGGCAAACUCUCUGGUGGACACCUCUUUGUCAUUUAAGGGCACAAAAAAUACAUUCAUUUUAGGAACAAUAGACAUGAGAUACUAUUUGUGCCAUAUGUUCACUUGGCAUAAAACCCAUCAGCCUCAUUCCCAAGCCAACAUGCACCAACUGAGGGAAAUUAUGAAUUGGUAAGGAAGAAAAUUGUACUCGCGACUGCUGCAAACUCCUCAUCUAAGCUACUCCACCAAUUUUUUGAUUAGAAGGGCUUGGAUUUUCCCACUUGUACCCCUUGUUGUGCUCCAGACACAUUGGUUAGGCAUAAAGGGGUUGCUACCAAACGUCCAAACCAACCUUGCAAUCUUCCAUUACUUUGACCCCGAUAGCCUGUCUGAGUAGGGGAAACCUACACCUCUAUUCAACCGAAAGACAUGUGCACCACUACUACCAAUAUUGUUCCCAUAGAAACCAUCUCUAAAUCCUCCUUCUCCAUCUUUCCCAUUAUAUUGAUCCUAGUUUCUGCUAUAUUGUCUGCCAUAAUUCUUCCUGCCCUGCCAAGAACGUGUUCUGACUGGAAUUACUACAUCACCUUGUCAUCCCUUGUUAGGCCUAGAUUGCCAUUUUCCUUGUCUUCCUGCCAUCAGAUCACCUCUAGUCUCUUCCCGCUCUUCCUCACAAAAACUAAAAGACCUACCCGCCACAGCCUCCUCUCUUGGGGUGGAGAGGGGACAGAAAUCAAGAUGAACUAGGGCGGGAAUGGGGGUGGGUAUAUCAAGAUACUCCCUCCGUAACUUAAUAUAAGACGUAUUUUGACACUGUCAUGGUGUCAGAGGGAGUAGCAGAUAAAGCUCUUUGUGUUUAAAGUUUCUCUCAAGAGCAACUCAACCCAGAAAUUAAGUGUGACUUGCUCUCCUCCUACCAUGGCUCAAAACAUACCAAGUUUAUUAAGAUUCAUGCACUCACGUGUUAGUUUAGAAAUCUAUGUAGCACAUCAAAAGGUCGUUGGUAUGAAUUCUGGGUUAGCAUUUGAUCGACCUAAUAAAACACACUGAAAAAUAUUCAUACGUUUACAUCUGCAUCGUAGGUGCAGGAGUAUUAUUGGGGGUAGGCGCAGCACAUCACCUUUUUUCCUUUCGAUAAAACGCAGGACAUCACUGUUACCACUACUAGUAGAAGGCCCGUGCGUUGCCACGGGCAUUUCCGUAUUUUUGUUGGUUGCAUAUAUAAAUAUAAUGCAUGUCAAAUUUAUGCGUGUAUAGAAAAGAUGACCAAUACAAUCAGAAAAUAAAUAAAAUUUACUUCACUUGCAAUGUAUAAGUUGACAAAAAUUACAAUAUGGCGAUUUAUACAUAGGGAGCAAUGAUUCAACAAAUUAUCUGUUACAAACUAAAAUCUACUUGAUGCAUUUAAGAUAUCCCCGUAUGACGUUAGUAAUGGUUGUCUUUAGCUUCAUUUGCAUGGUUCUAGCACGUAAGGUUAUGAUAAUUCAAUAUAUGAUUAUGAUAAUUUACACACAAUUGUAGAUCCAUAAAGUGUAUAGGAGGGUCUAGAACCAAGAAGACCUCAUCGCAUCCAAGCAUGCAUAUGGCCAUGUUGAAACAAAUCCAAAGAGUGCUCCCUGUUAAGUAGGGUUUAGGGUUAGGCCUACCAAUUGUAGGGUUUAGGGUUAGGCCUACCUAUUGUAGGGUUUAGGGUUUAGUAUAUCAUCAAAAGAAAUCAAAAAAUUGCUUUAGUAUAUCAUCCACACGAUUAACAUGCCUACAUGUAGGAGUGUACUAAUAAAGAUUUUUUUUAUCAAUUUUGCUUUCUCAAGAGUUCAUGUAACAUAAUAAGUUUGUGUUGAUGAAUAUAUAAACUUAAUUUUUGAGUUUGGCAAGUGUUUACCCAUCAGUUUGCAUUUGAUUUAUGAAUCUAUUUUACACGGACCAGUAUGUAACAUUGAGAUCACUUGUUGGUGAUUAUUCUCAAGAAAUUACUUGGGGCAUGUGAUAUUUUCAUUAAAUAAAAAAGUAUGUGGCAACUCUCACAGCAAAAAACCACUUUUCCCUUACACAUACACACAAUAAAAACAACUAUACCUUUAUUCCAAAAAACCAAAAGCACAUUUCUCGACAUUCAUUUUGUUCCUUAGCAAUUUCCCCCGACCCACGCGUUGCCUAGCUCUGGCGGCUCAAGGGAAACCUAACCGUGCCGUCGUCCCUUCCCCUCGCUGGCUCCUCCCUUGACCGCUACCGCGAGACCAUGUCGCAGUGGCGGCGAACCCCAUUCCCACAGGGGAUGGGGAUCGCCGGUCGUCCUUGCGCGGCGGAGCAUGUCUGUCGGGGCAGCAGGCCUGGGCUAGUGAUGGGGGCACUCUACGGCGUGGCGGCGGUGCAUUGCACGCCUGCUUGCAGUGGUUACGAUGCGGUGGCAGGGAUUCAUCUCGCGCAUUGGUGCUGUUCACGGCAGGGGAGGCGUCGUCCCUUCCCAAUAUGUGUGGCGUGAGCUUUGGCUGCGCAUUUGCCCGUCCCUGCGACGCGAUUCCGGUGGCUGGGGGCUUGGGUUGAAGCUCUGCUAGGUUUGCGUCAGUGGUGACCGCUGCUUCUGUUGGCGGCUCGCCCGCUUGGUGCGAUUGUGUGGCAGCCCACCCUCCUGGCUCUCUGGUAUUGUGCGUCGCGUCGCCUUCAGUUUUCUUCAGUGUCUUGGCUCGGGAGACUGCCAAAACGGUCCGUCCUCGGGCGGAUCUAGCUCGCUAGUUCUUUCCGACUGGCGGCGAGGAUUGUGGUAGCUCCUACAUGGUCAGGGUGUGGUGGCUCCAUUGAGGUGUGUGGUCCAUCGGAGCUGUUGUGCGUGGGGGUGUGGGUUUGGGUGGUGCUCCGGGCGAAAGCUUGUCGGGCUCUUGCUGGCUGACGGCAUCGGCGUCUGUGGACGUCGUUUCAUGUCGUUGGAGACGCCACUGUGGAUUCCACCCUUUUCGCACCCUUGGAUCCAGUUCAUUGGGCAAAAGCCUAUGGCCUGGUCAGGUCGGACGAUGAUGUCGGCAUCACCGCUUCCCUCUUUGGGUCGUCGCCUGGAAGAACUUUGGAUCCCGUUUGUGCGCUCCAUGGGCUGGACGUUCGCCAUUACGGUCGGCAGGUGCCCGUUCAACAAUGUUUUUGAUCUGCGAGGCUUCUUUUCUGUGGCAAUGAUGGUGGCUUCGGCCAGAGAUGGCUUGCUGAUGGUCUUGGUAGUUGGUCUCUUCCGGUGUGUUCGAGGGGUCGCCGUGCCUUGCUUUGUCUUCCUAAAGUCGGAGCUGCUGAGGAGGGGCCAUUGCGGUGAAGAUGACACGAGACAGGUGGUCGGCUCUGUGGCUGGCUCGACGCAAACCCAACGCUUUUCUCCCCCAAUGCUCGUCGACAAAGUCGGAGCUGAUUGGUCGCCGGCACGUGUGGGUGACUGUUUGGCAUCAACCGCCGCAAACCUUGACGCUUGUUUGCGGUGAGGGCUUCUUUGGUGGUCGUCGAUGGUGGAGUUGGAGUCACCCUCAGGGAGGGGUGAUGACGGUGAUGUUGAGCUGCAACCUCGACAACGCUUUUCUCCUCGGUGACGUGUGUAUGUUCUUGUGCGAGUUGCCGGGUCGCCUCGUGUGGCUUGUUUUUGUGGGCGUGAUAUGUGACGGUUUAAAUCCUUUUUUGUUAAUUAAGCAGGUAAUUCUCUUUGACCUUUUUAAUGAAUCGGACCUAAGGACCGCGUUAAAAAAACAUGCUCCUUUUCUUCUUAUUAUCUUGGAAAAAAAUAUCACUCUCUCACCGCACGGUCACGACACAAGCCUUCACUCUCUCCCUGCAAGGCAGCGGUGCUGCCAUCUCUCCUUAUCUCCCCGCCACGGCGUGGCCGCCGCCAUAUCUCCCCUCAUGGCUACUCCCAGCUGCCUCCCCUCCAUGGCGUGUCAAUCAACCCACACCCUUCUCUCACCGCCGCCUCCCAUCCCCCAUGGCGUCGCUCAUCCCAUCCACUCCCCGCCACGGCGUUGCCAACACAUCUGGCACGGCGAGCAGCGAGAUCCGACCGGGAGGUGGAGAAGGCCUCGUUGUUAUCCGUUCGCAGAAGUCCACGUAGCUGGCCUGUCCGGAUUUGGGCAAGAUGACCUCAGGCACGAGGUGUGGCUCGACAAGUUGGAGGGAUGGCCCCCUGGUUCUCAGGCCCGGUCUUCUAGUUCAGCCGAGACGCACCGUCCAUCUCCAUAGCGGGGACAUCCCAGGCAGCAGCGGAGUAGCCUCCAAGGAAAGCCGGACCAAGCGUGAGCACGACAAGUAACUCGAGGCGCUGCACCGGUGACCAGUGAGUGUCCCCUCCCAAUCCCAUCCCCCCCUCUGUAACUAUAAGGGUUUCGUUCUGAUUCAUGUUGGUGAACGGGAAGUACAUUUGCUCUUGCACAUUUGGUCAGAUAAAUGUGAAGAUUUUUCUGGUUUACAUGCAUUAUCUGCUACCAGUUCGAGCAUAUACACAGUAUGACAUCCUAGCCCAAGAAUCUAGUUCAAGUGAAGUUGUAAUCUUAAAGAAUUGUACUUGGUAUUACAAUAACUGAGUGUCUUACUCAAUUCCUUGAUCGAAUUUGAAAUUUUGGUGUGUCUCAGAAUGAUGCUCCUUCUGAUGGACUGAAUGAUUUUACGGAAUUUAUUCUCAUGUGUGUGCAGUGGGAGUCUUGUACACGAAGAAGUACUACAAAUUGGCCAAGCACCAGUAUUGGAUGCGUCAAAUCUCGGACUGAUCAAACCCAACAGCCUCGUUCGGUUCAGGGGGAUGGUUCAGGACAUGCUCGGGGCGAGUUCUAUGCCGGCUCUUUAGAGGUACUGAAAUGAUUUUAUUGAUAGGCUGUGGUGAAGCUACAGCUCAUGCUUCUUAUGCUCAUUUGUAAAAAACAUUGUUUGUGAAGGAUGUGCUACCUGGAGGACAAAAAAGUUCACAGACUUCUCACCAUUCUCGAUGAUGUACCCAUGUGAUUCGCAUCUCUGGGAGCACCAUCUCUGCCAUUGCGUGCCUGUAUGUUACUACAUGCCUGAGCACUUGUUUUUUUCACUUUCUUACCAUUAGUGUAGUUCACCUGGAACUUAUGAAAAUAACUUCUUUAAGGUGCAUAGGCAGAAUUCUUGGAUACUGGAGUCUCCCCCUGGACCUGUCUUUCGCCAAAUGGCAAACUGGUUGACACCUGANNNNNNNNNNNNNNNNNNNNNNNNNNNNNNNNNNNNNNNNNNNNNNNNNNNNNNNNNNNNNNNNNNNNNNNNNNNNNNNNNNNNNNNNNNNNNNNNNNNNNNNNNNNNNNNNNNNNNNNNNNNNNNNNNNNNNNNNNNNNNNNNNNNNNNNNNNNNNNNNNNNNNNNNNNNNNNNNNNNNNNNNNNNNNNNNNNNNNNNNNNNNNNNNNNNNNNNNNNNNNNNNNNNNNNNNNNNNNNNNNNNNNNNNNNNNNNNNNNNNNNNNNNNNNNNNNNNNNNNNNNNNNNNNNNNNNNNNNNNNNNNNNNNNNNNNNNNNNNNNNNNNNNNNNNNNNNNNNNNNNNNNNNNNNNNNNNNNNNNNNNNNNNNNNNNNNNNNNNNNNNNUUUGUUACAAUAAUGAUUCUCAACAGUUUUGAUGUCCACUAACCAUCAUUGUCAUCUAAUGCAUUGCUUGCUAUAGGUUUCAUUGUCAUCUAAUCAUUCUCAAUAGUUUUUUUCACUUUCAUGCAGUAAGAAACCAGCAAGAACCGAACUUAGUUUUCUACCAUUGUGAAGGGCAAAGUUUAGGAAGCAACUUAAUCUUUAAGCUCUCUAUUUUUUCAUUCCCCCAUAUGAAAUUGUCUCAUAAUCUAGUUGUAUUUUUUCCUGGAUGCUAUGCUUUCAUCGUAGGCCUUUUAUUCUUUAGGUAAAUUGGAGCUUUAUCAAAUUAUGUAUAUAACGGGUGAUCUUAUCGGAAACAUAAUUUGAGAACUACUUCAUGUUUUUAGUUGCUGUUUUUUAGGGACAAUUAUUGAACGGUUUGUGCAUAAAUAUCAGACCAUCCAGCCUAACGCAGUGAAGUCACUGCCCUAUUAGGAGUAGGAAAAAAAUCAGUUCUUCGACCACACAACUGAAGCCUGAUUGUACUUCAGUUUACCAUCAAAUGGCCAGUUAGUAAGGUCUAGUAAGCAAUCUAGGCAGACACAUACAAAGUUAACAUCAAGUGGUUGAGUUAGCAAGAUCUAGCAAGCAAUCUAGACACGUGACCUACAUGGGAAAGAAGAAGACACGGAAGGAAAAGAAAGGCAGUGAGAACCUUUACCUAGACAAUUCAGUUCGUUUGCCAAGCCAUCGUUGGCUGGGCCAACCUUCGUCUUUCUCCUCCGAGCCAGCACCAAGAUGCCCAUCUCAUCCUGGCCGAGGAACCGCGACCCCGGCAGCUCGCCACUGGCACCAAAACAGCAUCUAUCCGUCCUGCCAGCGCCUGUCCCGACCAUGUAGGCUGCAAGGGGCCUGACAAAUAAUUUUGUUCCACAAAUUCUUGUGUAAACGAACAACACUGAACAAGGAUCCCUACAAUAGUGUUCCUAGAUACCAAAAAUGUUAUGCUAAACAUGCUACUGAUUGUGCGAAACUCAAAUACAAUGCUUACCAACCAAUCAAUAUGCCAAAGUAGUAUUUUUUGCAUUCCUUCAGGCCAACACAAAUUUAGCCCAGGUUUGAAGCCAUAGUGUAGUGUCUGAGUAAACCUUGUUGUAAUAUAAAAAGUGACUACACAAAUGUGUUCUGCACAGUGGGAUGUUGGUGCAUCUGUUGCAUCGUUGAAGUGGUCGGUGUACUGACUACUGAGUAGUGCCCAGGUUCUGUAGCUAGUCAACACCAAUCAUGAGGAACAUAUAACUUCAUGAUCCUCAUGUACAUCAGAUAACUUUAUCAACGGGCAUAUCUAGUCAUCAUUUAAGGACAGAAUCAAGAAAGCAGAGGCAAAUGCAAGGAGAGAAUAAAACCAUUACGUCAUAUUACUGGUCGAAUAUAACUGAAGCGUAAUCUAUUGUCGGGGAUAGCUAGCUCCCAGUAAGCAAAGAUGAUAUCAGUUGAAACAAUAACUGCUGCUGAAAUAACAUGUUUUCAUGACCAAUCUAAUUUGCUUGUAACAAAAAAAUCUAUGUCUUAUCUUAUAUAAGAAGUAAAUCUACACCAGCAACCAACAGAACAGGGGAAGAAUGGAAAUUUCGUAGGAGAAAUUGUGUUGGUCAUUGCUAUAGCUGCAAGUUGAUGAACUAAAAUAUUCUCCAACUCAAGGGAGGCACCACCGUACAUGUAAGCUAUAUAGUAACUAUCUUCUCUGAACGGGCCGUCGUCAUUUAUCGUUUACACCAUUUUCUAGUUGUUGUUACAUUUAAGAAAAACCAAACUAAUACUGAAAACACGUAUGAUAUUUUAAAAAAUAACACAUAUGAAAUUAUGAACUAAUUUAGAACAUUUUUUCAUAAGAAAAGGUAAAAUAGAGUCAUAGGCUAUCAUAUUGUUGCAAGAACACUUUCUGGAAAUCAAAAUGAAAUGAAAUAAUCAUACAUCAGUCUCCGCAAGUCUCACAUAGACCAUCUCAUAUAUGCCAAUUUCAUGUCAAAUAAUGAGAUCAUCAUCAAGAUAUAUCUUCCUCAUUACAGUGCAAAGUAAUAGCCUACCCCAACUUGUUUGGGACUAAAGGCUUUGUUGUUGUUGUAUUACAGUGCAAGGUAAUCACAAAUGGCUGUAAAUCAAUAGUAAUUAUGUAUAAGCAUGCAUGAGAUCAAUACUCAGGCCGUAGUGGAAAUUAGUGGUAAAUCGAUAAACAAAAUCUGUAUACGCUUGAGAGAAAAUUAGAAGUGCAUCUAACCAUAGCAUGUGCAGGUCACAUACCAAUAAUAGAAUAGUUGGCGUCGGGAAAAUCCACCAGAUCUUUAAUCAACGGAAAGAAAGCGACCCUCAUCCUCUAGUUGUCUGUCAUCCUAUAACCAGCACUCCAUCGUGAAUAUCAAUGCUUCCUUUCAUUUCCCAAACCUUCUUCUUUCACAUUUUCUUGUAAUGAUUCCUUUGAACAAAUAUCUAACCACACAUGCUUGUGCCAGUGCUGCUCGCAUCAUGUUCUCCUGGAAUCUAAUAUGUAGGUCUAAAUGUUCCAUUACCAAAAAAACUGGACAUUGAAGAUUUGCAUUACCAGUAGCUUACUUAUUACUGACAUUCAUGUGGGAUUGGAAGAAAAUUCAAUUUGCCUUUAUUUUAGAAAAGGUUACCUAAAUAGUCCUAGGAGACGCAGCGGCCACAGUCCAGGACGUAGCGUCUAUGUGUACUGGGCCUUUGGUGCACGACCGCGCGUGUCGGUUGGGGCCUCACAUGCUACCCGACACAGUCCUGCACUAACAAACUUUUGAUGUUUCCCUCCUCCAAGGUUGUGAACAUGAGACAAAUUUUUUUUGUCUUCGACCACUAAUCAAGUUUAGAACUGGUCCAACAAUUUCGUGAGAUCUGAAAGAAAAAGACAUGAUGCCACAUGGAAAUAUCAUGGCCACCGAAGUGUAGCACUUAUGAGUUCAUGAAACCACUUUCGUGAAGGAAAAGAAGAAGAAUACUGCUGGCAGUACAUGAAGUAGCAAGCAUAAUUCAAACAAAUAGAGUCAUGCUUAGAAUUAGGGAGCAAAGAUGAUUUCAAGAAUAAAAGCAAAAAUUAACUCAGCAGUGCUCACAUUAGUGGUGUUGUACCGCAAGAUGGAUGCACUGCGGAAAGGGAUAGGUGCAUCCAGCGCCAGCUAGAGGCGGACGGAAGUGAAAGGCACCAUGGCAUCAAAACAAGGGCUGAGAGGACAAGCGCAUGCCUCCGCCUCAUCGCUGAUCUUAGGCAUCCCUGAUUUCUCCAUUACGCAACCAGGGAUAAGUUCUGUCAAAUUACAAAUCACUAUGGCUGGGAGCUGGUGUCACCAUGGCUUGUCCAAAUCAAGCACUUAGUUCUUCUGGAUUGGAAAGACAACAAACUGAAUAAUUAGUGCAGAAUCACCCUGCAAAUCAAACAUGUUUCUUGUUUCUUCGUGCAACAUAAGCCCUGCAAAUCAAACAUGUCAUCAGCUAACUGAACAAUUUCCACAAGCACUCUCCAUGCCCUACAAAUCAAACAUGUCAUCACAUAGAUUAGAACAAAAUUUGGACUUGUUAUUUUUGACACUGUAAUACAUUUAAUCAAGUGAUUUCUAGAUAAAUGUGGAGUUAGGAAACAAAAACUUGACAGUGAUUUAGGAAAUUGCAAAACAUUUGUGCAGCAAUAUUAACAACAAUUCUGGUCCUUUUAGUAUCUCCAUACACACAAAAACGUGACAACACUAUAGACGCUUCAUGUGCAAUGGAGAUAGACAAAUUGCCUCCUUUCAUAAAGGUCCAUUAUGGAUGAGAAAAUUUAAAUGGAAGAAAUUGAGGUUUUUGAGCUUAGAAAACAUGAUAAGGAAGCAUUCGCAUAAAUAUUUGCAGUAGAAAUCAUGUAUUUGAAUACCAAUAACUGGUAAUGGUUCCACAACAGAUGUCCACUUGCAACAUUACUACUCUAGCUGUCCGACACAUAACCCGGGAGGGAAUAUAACUCUAUUGUAGCAUCUACCACAUUAUAUACAGGUGCAAUCUGCAAAAACCUAGUGAGUAACCGUGAUUAUUUUAGGUCUGCCAAACCAAAUGCAACCAAGAAAAAAUACAUUGAUGAGAUGAAUGGCUGCUUACUUCUCCCCGGGUUUAGAGUGUAUUCCUUUUAGCAUUCUUUAGACUUCUCUGGUAGCUGGAAUAGCAAGAGAGAAUUAUUAGGUAGUAACUUCUUUGAAUUUACAUAGCAAGGUCGCUGCAUUGGAACUACCAAUAAGACUGGAACUUCAACAUGCACAAAGCUAUGAUUAGGUUUAAGAAGCAAUAGAGCUUCAAAUAUGACAAUAUUUCUUAAAAAAGUAAUAAUUAUCACAAAAUAUUUCACCUCUAUGUUCCGAUCCCCCCACAUUCUUCCAUCAAAACCCAACAUUCAAUAGGAUGCCAGUAAAGAUAAACCAUAUGGGAGACAUAACAUGUGCAGCCACACAAAAACUUUAAGAAGUGCAACCUGUCGAAAACAAAACCCAUACAAACAUAUUUGCACUGGUAAGGAGGUAUAUAAGUGUGAGAGUCAAAUGUCACAACUUGGUAGCUGUGAAAAUUCAUUUGCAAACCAUUUCGUUUGUGGCUAUGGAGGUCGUGAUGGUCUAGCAUAACCACCCCAUACAAAUGUUGCCCUCCUAACUGAUGGAUAGUAAUUUCCGAACAUGUGGUGUAGCAUGAAUCUAGUAGUAUACGCGCGCUUUGCCACGCCGUUUUGUUUCUAACGUUCAUAGGUUUGCGAGGUGUGGUAAAAAUAGUUUGACCUUUGUAAUUUGGCUCAUGUACAGUAUCUCCCAUGAUAUACCUAAGUGGAUGUGAGGAACAAUAUAGAUCGUGCUAUUCAAUUGACAAAUAAAGAUACAUACAAAAAAAAGAUAAGCUAUGCAAAAUAAGAUAAAAUGGUUCUCAUCUAACCUCAAAUAAUGCCUGCUCAAAUGCAACAUUAAUCAGCUUAUUCUGAAAAUGUAAAUACAUGAAGUCAAGACAACUUGAAUCACCAAUGGUACUAAAAAGAUUUACAGGAAGUAAAGAAACAUCGGAUAAGCAUGCGGCCGUCCUAAAAUUUUCUGGAAAAUGAGUCAGAUCAGAUUCGUGAGCAACAUACAACAGAAAUCAAACCUGCAUAUUUUGUUCCUCAUACUGAGAUACAUUUUGGUUUCAACAAGUGCUCAAUGGGAAAACAAACUCUUUAUACUCCAUUGAUGUACUACAAUAGCAUUUAAGAAAAUUAGAAUUAUCACAAGUUAUCAUUUAUAGGAGAAGCGACAGUCAUAUAUCUCCAAAAUCACUGAACAACAAGAUUUGGUCACAAGCAGCUGCAAAAUCAUUUAUAGGAGAAGCAGUACAUCAUAUUGCUAUGAAAUAUCUCCAAAGUCACCCACCAUCACUUCAGGUUGAAUAGCAUUAUCUAAGGUCUAUUAUAGGCAGAAUAAUCAUGAGGGGCACAUGAAGGAAGUAAAUUUCUUACAUGAACAACAGUCAGCUGGUCCGCGUCUAAUGCAAGUCAGUGCAGCCUCUAAUCAACAUGCUUGAGCGAACAUGUUGAGCAAACAUACUGUGGAGCACAUAUAUUCAUGUCUAGCAAAAAAAAGGUCGAUUAUAGAUUAAUCAAGGGUAGUAGUUCAAAGUAGCAUCAGACAAACCCGUAUAUGUGGAAUACUUAAUCUUAUCUAGCUCAUCAUCCUCACCCUUUGUUCCAUAAUGUGCCACUGCAGCAGCAGUAGCAGCUUAACACAAAUUAGGAGUGAACAGCCAACCAAUCAAUCUGCAACAUGAGGGAGAGGCUUGAGACGGAAGAGCCAUGGCGGCAGUGCCAGGUUCUCUCCGUCCGCAAGACAAAGAGGACUAUCAGUAUGCUUAUCAGCCGCACCGUCCGUCCACGACUGCGCCGCUGGACGGCACCGACCCAUGGCUUGAGGCCAGCAUUACCCUGCUUUUCUGCAACAUAAAACCAUCUACCGGAGUAACAGGCGCUGACAGACAACAGCCCGCUCAAGAAAUUAAAGGAGGAAAGAAGAAGGGCAAACCUAAAAGUAACGAAGAAGGAAGACCAAGCAGGGGGAGUCGACCGCACCGAGACGGGCAGGGUUGUCGAUGCAGGUGAGGGCGAGGGCGGGGUCGAGGGGCUCCACGAACUCCUCAACGCAGCUGACGCCGGCAUCGAUGCGCGGGCGGCGCUUGAGCGUGAGGACGGCGCGGGAGGGGUCGCGGUCGUCGGUGCCGUAGAGGCGGACGUCCCGCUGGGCGGCGGUGGCGGCGGCGGCGGCGGCGAGGGGCCGCGCGGGGGCGUCGGUGCGGAGCAGGCGGGGCGCGAGGAAGGAGGAGAGGCUGGAAGGGGCUUGAUCUCGAUCUCCAUGGGGUUGGGGUUGCGGCUAGGGCUGGAAGGGGCGGGCGGCGGCGUCUAGGGAUCGAGAGGAGCGGACGAAAAAACCUCCGAAAAAAAACCUACGAAAAAAAAUCAGUGGAGGUGGGACGAAAAAAAACCGAACGAAAGUGGCGGGACGAAAAAAAAUUUGGAAGCGAGACUACCAACUGCUCCAUUAGGAGUAGAGAUUUCGCUGUGCCAUUUUCCAUCUUUUCCGAAGGACGGAACUGGUCGGCCUGAAACCGAUCUCGUCUCGUGAUCUCCCUUUCCCUCGCCGCGACAUCUCCGCUUCGGCUUCGACACGUAGUCCGCGGCGCAGAUACGCUGAGACGGCGGCGAGCCCCACCCGAAAGCCAAGAUCUGCCUCCGACGAGUAGAGUAGGUAGCUGCGGGCUCUCCAUGUGACAAGACAACGCGGCCGGCCGACGUCGCGCGCGCGCGCGCGCAUUCAUUCGCGCCCAACAAACCAUGAACCAAGCCUCGCAGAUUCGGGGACGGUGCAGCGGCCGACCUCGCAACGCCCGUGUGGUUGCCGGUUCAAAUCCGGGGGACAGAGACGGUAUGGCGCCCAUGCCGGCCGCGCUUGCCGGUGCACCGCUACCGGGUGGACACGCACGCACUGCGCCCCGGGCCGACGGUUACAUGCGAUGUUAGGUGAGGCUGCAGGCAUGCUGACUCGGUGCUGCGUGGGGUCUGACUCCGAACAGGACGUGUAGAUUUGUGGGUAGGGUAGCACGAGCGGAAACUUCGAUGGGUGGGCAAGCUCGGCUUGGAAGAGUACCAACUGCCAAACUGUUGUUAGCGGUGUUCUGGUCGAUUUUCAGUGAAAUGGCUGUGAGUGAGUCAUGUUCGCCCUGGUUCCACGUCGAUGAAUCGAUGGAUCAUGGUUAGAGGUCCAUUGCGGCAGCGAUCUCGGGAACAAACUCUUGCCGCCCUUGCGUUGGACCGUCAACAUUACAAACCUAGAUGAUGUGUACACAUAUAUGGUCCACGUGCAUGCACAUAUAUGGUCUACAUGCAUGCAUGUUACUGAUAUUAUGAUACAGUAGUAUACUUUUUUUUUUGCGGGAAGAUACAGUAGUAUACUGUCUGAGUGCAGUGCACGAGACGAAAGUCAUCUACACAGGCAUGGCAUCGAUCCCUACAAGAAAACUUAUGCAUCCUACUGGUCCUUGCACUGCGCAUCGAUGGGGUCCGUUGUUGCCCCCGACACGGCGCCACCCGCCUUUACCCGUAAUCCGGUGGGAGCGAGAAUGUGCAGGCACAUGGGGCGCUUCCUGGAAAGCGGCAGAGAACCCACCGCACGUAGCCAUCUCGCCAUGCCAUGCCCCGAUCCCAUAGAGAAAUCUCGAAUCGCGCUUUCGAGCAAAUGAAUAUACUGCACCUGGCCCUCCCAUGGAAAUGGAAAGGGGGCAAGGGCCAAGGGCCGCUAAAGCUCCGUCUCUAGCUAGGUUGGCCAGGCCGAAUUAGCCAAGGAAUGACGCGGCCAGCUCCACACACGAACGUGGACGACCGCGCGCGCCUUUCUGAUCCGCCGGUGACUCGGCCGGCCCGGCUGCUGACUCCGCAUGUCCGCUGCCUUUGCCAAAAGGAUCCACCACCGCGCGCGGCCGCCUAUAAAAGCCCGGCCACCGCAGCGGCACUCUGGUACCAAUCCCCGAUACCUUACUCGCUAAGUUAAGCCACCACCACCAGCGCAGCGCAACGCACGCCGGACCUAGUUGAUCGCUCGUUCUUCGUCGAGCUUCCUGCAGCAGCCAGCCAAGAUGAAGUCGAGCAGCGGCGGCCAUGUCGUGGGAGUCCCGGUGACCUCCAAGGCGUAUGGGAUUGAGGAGAAGGCGCCGUCGGCCAGGGACGGCCAGUCGUUCAGGAAGGCCGACGGCGACCACCUUGCUGUCUCCUUGACGAAUCCUAGCCCCUACACUUCUUUCGGCUACAAGCACAGUAGGUCCCGAUCAUUCAUGCAUGCAUGGCCAUAUUUUGCCAUCGAACUUCUGACGCAUGCAUGCAAGAGCAAAGAUGUUGAGGCUUAUGCUAGUGUGUUGAUUCUGCAGGCAGCAAAGGUCAGGUUGUCCACUGGGUGAGCAAGCUGAGCAGAAGGGCGCAAGGCUUCCGUGAGCAUGGUGAGUAGCACGCACUCGAUCGUGCAUGCAUGUUUCUUCUGUAAUUCAAUGGCUGUUAAAUGUUGGUGCGUGAAAGGUGCUUGUGUUCUGACCAACAUUGUUCACCGUAUGCAGUGACCCUGGGUCCCAAGAUAUCGGAGACCGUGAAGGGGAAGCUGAGCCUGGGGGCCAAGAUCCUGCAGGCCGGCGGGAUCGAGCGCGUGUUCCGGAAGGCGUUCACGGCCGAGAAGGGCGAGCGGCUGGUGAAGGCGCUGCAGUGCUACCUCUACACCACCGGCGGCCCCAUCGCCGGGAUGCUCUUCGUCUCCACCAAGAGGAUCGCCUUCCGCAGCGACCGGCCCGUCACCGUCACCUCCCCCAGGGGCGACGUGGCGCGCGUCUCCUACAAGGUGGUCGUCCCGCUCAAGCGGAUCGACAAGGUGCGGCCGAGCGAGAACGUCGACCGGCCGGAGGAGAAGUACAUCCACGUCGCCACCGUCGACGGCUUCGAGUUCUGGUUCAUGGGCUUCGUCAGCUACCAGAGGUCCUGCAAGUACAUGCAGCAGGUCAUCGGCGGUGCCGAGCUGCAAUGACUAGCCGAGCGGAGGAAGACGCGAGGCCCGCCGUUUGUUCCGUCGGCACGAUGAGAAGUGGAGUUGCGGGCUGCCGCUGCUGCUGCGCCAUCUUUUGCUGUGGAGCAGCAGGAGCAGCCCUGGCUGGAAUUGCUCGAUCUUAUUUCGGAUCGGAGCAACUUGGAUCCUUCCGCGUACGAUUUGGAUUGGCUUAUGUUUUUCCAAGCGAUUGCUUAAUUUGUACUAGGAUGGACAAAGAAAUUAACCGUGCUGCAUGUGAAUGAAUGGGAAGGCAGUUGUUCAAAAUUAUUGUCCUUAUGCAUGAUCUUAACUCUUAAGCUUCCAUAUAUCGAAUUUGCGAAAAUAUGAGACGAAUACAAUUGAACCAACUAGUAUCAGGCCGCUUCUAGGGGGUGCAAACGAGUCGACUUUAAGCAACCUAGACAUACCUAGGCUCAGCACAUGUUAACAAGGAGCUAGCUCAACAGAACUCUAGCUGCCCUAACAAAAUGAACUCUAGAUAGAAUUACAAUUGCAAAGUUGGCUGAUAGUUGGUUAGUAAUGAUCUUGAGUCGAUCUCAGGCCAUUUUUAGAAGAAGAAAAAUACUAGAAAUUAUUCUGAUUUUCAUCCUCUUUCUCCAGAUAAAGUACCUAUGGUACUCGAGCUAUGUGGUCAAAAUAGAAAGAGCUGGCCUUACUCAAACUCGGCUAACUAUUGAACCGAGCUAUAAAGAAGCUCAUACUCAACCAAUUUUCUUUUGAGUCUGUCUUGAGUCAAGCUCUUUUUCUUUUUCUUUUUCUUUUUGCUCUUGAGCGGUUCACGAGCCUUGGGCUUUUCUUGCAACCCGUUUUGUCCUGACAGACGAUUGUGCUCGAAAGUUCUUCUCUCACAUGUUCAACUUCUUGUUCAUGGGCUUCUCGAGCUAUCAGGAUUACUUGCGCCAUUUUUUAGACCUAUUUUCUUUUACUCAAUACCCAUUUCACAGGCUUGGGGGCGGAGAAAAAACCUUGAACGUCACUCAUCCAAAUAAAUCUUAUUUUGACGAACNNNNNNNNNNNNNNNNNNNNNNNNNNNNNNNNNNNNNNNNNNNNNNNNNNNNNNNNNNNNNNNNNNNNNNNNNNNNNNNNNNNNNNNNNNNNNNNNNNNNNNNNNNNNNNNNNNNNNNNNNNNNNNNNNNNNNNNNNNNNNNNNNNNNNNNNNNNNNNNNNNNNNNNNNNNNNNNNNNNNNNNNNNNNNNNNNNNNNNNNNNNNNNNNNNNNNNNNNNNNNNNNNNNNNNNNNNNNNNNNNNNNNNNNNNNNNNNNNNNNNNNNNNNNNNNNNNNNNNNNNNNNNNNNNNNNNNNNNNNNNNNNNNNNNNNNNNNNNNNNNNNNNNNNNNNNNNNNNNNNNNNNNNNNNNNNNNNNNNNNNNNNNNNUUCGGCCAGUUCUCUUGGAUUUUUUUUCCUUUUGGUUUCGGUUUGCAUUUCCCUUUUUUGCCCUUUAUUUCCCCGUUUAUCGCUUUUUCGUGUUAUUCUGUGAUUCUAAUUUCCUUUUAUUUUCUUGUAUUACUUUUUUAUUUUAUGUUUUUAUAAAUUAUUUAAAAUAUGAUGAACAAUUAUCAAACACAUAAUAAAUACUUUUUAAAUACGUGAUCAACAUUUUUAUAAUACACAUGAUAGAGUUUGUAAUACAUGGUGAAUAUUUUUCAAUUUUUUAAAAAAAUCUUAUAAAUAUUUAAACUUGCUUUAACAAUAUUUAAUACGAACAUCAUAGUAUGUUUUACUAUUCUUACUAUGACAGCACUUUUUUGAACCGGGAAAUCUAUAUGCAUUUUUACGAAAAGGAAUGGUUGUUUGCCCGACAAUUUGCGGACUCACUCAGCCAUCCAUGUAACCCAUCGACCACUGCAGUUGUGAUACAAGAAAAUCAAGCCCACCUGCCACCGAUCAACUAGAAAAGAUGGCGCAUUGAAGGACAGGCGUGGCUAUACCUCGGUUGCUGCGAAAGGUAACGCCUCAUCGCCUCAAGGAAUGCCCCCCUAAUGGGCUGGUGCAGUGACACUUUGUUCAUGGGUUAGUUUACCUUUUUUUUCAUUUUUCCUUUACAGUUUUGUUUUAUAUAUUAUAAAUAUAUAUAUCCCAUAAAAUACUCUACUUCAAUUUUUUUAAACAUUCACUGCACAGAUAAAAAAUGUCAGAUUCUCAACAUACAAAAUAAAAAAUGCCAUGCAGUGAAAAAACAGUGUUCACCCAUGCAAACAAUGUUCAUGCAACCGAUAUGAAUGUUGAUGCAGCCAGAAAGUAUGCACGACAUUAAAAAAAUGUUCAUGUAUAUCAACAAUAUGUUAAUUACGUUUAAAUUUUCUAACACAAUAUAGAAAAGCCCGCGUAAUUUUAAAAAAAAGUGUAUCUUCAAAAAAUAAUGUGAUAUGAAAAAAUCAUGAAAUUUGUGAAAAUUGUCCCUUAAAUGUAAAAGCAUUUGUACAGUUAAAAAUGUUUUGUGCAAUUAAAAAAGUGAACUUGUAUUAAAAAAAUGUUUAUGUUUAUUAAAAAAAGUAUUUAAAAAGUGUACAUCAUGUCUUCGAAAAAUGUUCAGCGUUGUUCAGAAAAAAUGUUAUGGUGUACACGAAAAAUGUACAACAUGUAUUGAAAAAGGUUUUCAUUCAUUUUUAAAAAAAGAAGAAAAUGAAGAAGAGAAAUAAAUUGAAGCGAAAAACUUAAGAAACACAAAAACUGAAGAAAGAAACAUAGAAAACCGAAGAAACCUAAAUUAAAAAAUCGGGGGAAAGGAGUAAAUACAAAAAAUGAAUGAAAUUGAGAAGCAUCCAUAAAUCUCGCAGCGGGUGAGAAACAGCCCGGGCGGCCACCUUUGCUGCUUGCCGAUCGAGGGUGGCGCCGCGCCCCGCCCGGCUGUUUCCCCCUCAAAGCAGGCAAGACAUACCAUGCCGCCGAAGCGGUUGGUGCAUGAUGCAAACGAGCCCCGUACGUGGCGUUUGCAAAACCUGGUCGAUCGGUGCCGAUCCGCGUGUCCCGAUCGACCAUAGCUUAUGUGUUGAGCUUGACGUAGCUGGAGCUCGGAGGAGCCAAAUUAGGUUGGUUGGGGAGCAAGCUGGCUAGCCGGACGGAUUCGCAACGGCUUGCGUAUGCAUUUGUGUGAGCGGUGACGAGUACCGAGCUCAAAACAGAAAAAGAAAAAAAAAAGAAAAAACAAGGAACGAGUGUAUCGCGCACGCCUAGUCGCGUAUGCAUUUGAAUUUGAAUUUGAUAGAUCUUCUGCGUGUUGUUUAAUUUGCUUACUACAAAGAGUGUAUCCACUGACAGCUCGCCCGUUGGCCACUGGCUGCAUGCAUGCAUGCCGGACUGUUUCCCCGUGCAUUCGUGUCGCCCAAUUUCCUAGAGCAUGGAAACUCCCACAGUAGUACCACAAUUCAAACGCUUGAUUCGCAUAAGGCCAUUUUUUUGUGUAUAUGGGAAGAUGUAGAACACUGAUAAUGACAACUUGACACGGUGACAGUCUCACAAAGGUGAUGCCAGCUACUUUUGGCAAACUUGCUUAAUAAAAAAUACAUACUCCCUACGUCCCAAAAUAAAUGUCUCAACUUUGUACUAACUUUAAUAUAAAGUUGUAUUAAGCUCGAGACAUUUAUUAUGGGACGGAGGGAGUAUUAAUUAGCACCUUCCAUCAAAUGAAAUAUACUUUUCAGUACUACCUUCCGCCAAAAUGCUAACUGUCCGCUGCAAUUUCGCUAAAUACUAGCCAUCAUGGGCGGGCAUAGAGUAGGGACGGUAUCUGGUGGCUUUUUGUUGGUCAUGCAGAUGUCCGGACUUUCGUAAAGCUUUCCCACAUUUGCCUUUGAUUUGCCGGAAAGAGUAUGUCCAAACUGCUCGACCGACUAAUGCAGGACCACGUUUGAUAACAAACUGAGUCCAGACACCGCGGUCCGGACGUUUGCGGGAUAUUUGACGAUCCGGCUUGGAGAUGCCCUAAGAUAUAGCAGUCCUAUGUAUAGAUCGGCACCGCAUGCGAUUCUCGUACGCACUUACUGGCGGCCACUGAGGGAUGGAAAGGAACAAACUUCACAUCACGUACAAAUCCACAAGAAGAAAAUAAUGCCAGGAACUCUACUUCCAGAUCACUUCACUAUAAAUACAGGCACGAAGCAUUCGUGCUGCCUCACACGAGCCACCGAAGCACACCCUAGCUUGGCCUCACUUAUCCUCGAGCACACGCCAGCAGAGGUUUCAGCCAUGAGUAGCCGCCGUGUUGGCCUCCUUCUCCUCUCCCUUCUGGCCACCACCCUCACGUGCAGCGCGGAUCCGCCGCCGGUGCACGACACGGACGGCAACGAGCUGCGCACCGACGCGAACUACUACGUCCUCCCGGCCAACCGCGCCCACGGCGGGGGGCUCACGAUGGCGCCGGGCCACGGGCGCCGCUGCCCGCUGUUCGUCUCGCAGGAGGCCGACGGGCAGCGCGACGGCUUACCCGUGCGCAUCGCCCCGCACGGCGGCGCGCCGUCCGACAAGAUCAUUCGGCUGUCGACCGACGUCCGCAUCUCCUUCCGCGCCUACACGACAUGCGUGCAGUCCACCGAGUGGCACAUCGACAGCGAGCUGGUGUCGGGCCGCCGGCACGUGAUCACCGGCCCGGUCAGGGACCCCAGCCCGAGCGGCAGGGAGAACGCCUUCCGCAUCGAGAAGUACAGCGGCGCGGAGGUGCACGAGUACAAGCUCAUGGCGUGCGGGGACUCGUGCCAGGACCUCGGCGUGUUCAGGGACC